GGCACUGGGCCGGGACAAGUUUCCCGAGGCGCCGCGACCGCGCUCCUGGUUCCCCAUCAUCGCCAUGAUCGUGCUCAUGGCGCUGGUCAUCUUCCCCACCGUCUUCUUCCUGCUCAGCCUCAUCUCGAAACAGAAAAAGGACAAAUCCACUAUCGCCCCUUCAGGCAAAAAGGACCCGAACAAGGCUUCACUCUGGUUCUGAGAUCACAAGGCCGCAUGCGACAUGCAUGACAGCGACAAGGACAGCCUUCAUUUUUGUCCAUUCGUGAAGAGACGCAUCUUCCCCACACUGCUUCGCCCGUGGCAAGCG